rnacentral:lncRNA from 1 species
GUGGAUCGCCAUAAUGACCACGAUUCUGCUCCACUCCCUACAACAGAUACCGCGUGAUUCCUCCCACCUCCUGGCAAGUCACGACAACGGACACCAUUCCACUACCCACGACAGACUCCACGUGGCACAUCCCAGCGGUAGCCACGAUCCCACUCUACUACUCUUCGCAACAAACUCUGCCUGACUCUGGACGGCCCACUGUCAGACAGUUACAGAUAUCGCUA